rnacentral:rRNA from 1 species
AGCCUACGGGCGGCAGCAGUGGGGAAUAUUGGACAAUGGGGGCAACCCUGAUCCAGCAAUGCCGCGUGAGUGAUGAAGGCCUUCGGGUUGUAAAGCUCUUUUGGCGGGGACGAUGAUGACGGUACCCGCAGAAUAAGCCCCGGCUAACUUCGUGCCAGCAGCCGCGGUAAUACGAAGGGGGCAAGCGUUGUUCGGAAUUACUGGGCGUAAAGGGCGCGUAGGCGGCUUACCAAGUCAGGCGUGAAAUUCCCGGGCUCAACCUGGGGGCUGCGCUUGAUACUGGUGAGCUUGAAUGCGGGAGAGGAUAGUGGAAUUCCCAGUGUAGAGGUGAAAUUCGUAGAUAUUGGGAAGAACACCGGUGGCGAAGGCGGCUAUCUGGCCCGUGAUUGACGCUGAGGCGCGAAAGCGUGGGGAGCAAACAGGAUUAGAUACCCCUGUAGUCC